rnacentral:rRNA from 1 species
UACGGGGGGGGCAAGCGUUGUUCGGAAUUACUGGGCGUAAAGAGUGUGUAGGCGGCCAGGUAGGUCUGCUGUGAAAACUCGAGGCUCAACCUCGAGACGUCGGCGGAAACCAUCUGGCUAGAGUCCGGAAGAGGAGAGUGGAAUUCCUGGUGUAGCGGUGAAAUGCGCAGAUAUCAGGAAGAACACCCGUGGCGAAGGCGGCUCUCUGGGACGGUACUGACGCUGAGACGCGAAAGCGUGGGGAGCGAACAGG